UUUGUACUCUUUUCCUUUAAUCAGUAUUUGUCUAUUUGUUCUUCAAAAAAAAAAAACAAAGUUCCAAAACGUCGAAACACCAAUUCAUAUCACAAAAUUGCAAACCCUUUUAACACCAACUCUUAUCACAAAAUUGCAAACCCAUUAACACCAACUCUUAUCACAAAAUUGCAAAUCCAUUAACACCAACUCUUAUCACAAAAUUGCAAACCCAUUCAAACGGACACACCAACACUUUACGAUGUGAAUCGCAAUGAGUUUGUUCGAGUUCGUCGAUUGAGGUCGCUUACCAGUAGAUUUGAUAGUUAGCUCCGUUGAUUGCGUCUGCUUCUCUCCAAGUGUUGAAAAUGAAGAAAGGGAACACACAAGCAGUGAAGACCUUACUUAAGAAGAUAUUUCACUUGAGAAGAUUUUUGGAUUUUUGCUGAAGCUUUAGAUACAACAACAACAACAGCCCAGUGAAAUCCCACAUCUUGGGGUCUGGGUUGCUGAAGCUUUAGAUGUUCUAGGAAUAUUUUGCUAUUGAUAUUUUGAAACUCAUGUAAAGUCUUUAAAUGUAAAACUUUUAUGUAUUUGGGUUUUAACAUUUUGCUUUUAUGGAUAUUAUAACUAGCUUGUAGACA